AGAGUUUGAUCCUGGCUCAGGACGAACGCUGGCUGCGUGCCUAACACAUGCAAGUCGAGCGGGGAUUACCGGAUGAAGUUUUCGGAUGGAAUCUGGUAAUUCUAGCGGCGGACGGGUGAGUAACGCGUGAGCAACCUGCCUCUCACGAGGGGAUAACGCAGCGAAAGUUGCACUAAUACCGCAUGAGACCACUACUUCUGACAUGGGAGAGGGGUACAAAGGAGCAAUCCGGU
rnacentral:rRNA from 1 species